rnacentral:ncRNA from 1 species
UUUUCCCGGGGUGUCGCACAGCGGCUGAGACGGCUUUUAAGCCGGACCCGUUAACCUGAUCCGGUUCACACCGGCGUAGGGAGUGAAA